AAAGGGAGACCUAAUUCGGGUAUAAGACGAAAAAAUAGUAGUCGAAACCAAGAAUCAAUCCCAAAAGGUCGGAACGAGGUAUGUGGCUUUCAAACUAGGUUCUGGGUUCAUAAAAGACCUGAAUCAGGAACAAGGGCUAUUAGCUCAGGUGGUUAGAGCGCACCCCUGAUAAGGGUGAGGUCCCUGGUUCGAGUCCAGGAUGGCCCACCUGCACAGGUGGCAAAAACAAGGAAAAGAAGCGAGGAAUCAGCACCUUAUCUUACUUAUAUAGUAAGAGAGAAUGCUGGCUCUGAGUACAGAGUCCAGAGGAACCUUGAAAACUGCAUAGAGCUAGGUGAAAAAGCCAAAAAAGAAGACCGCAAG
rnacentral:tRNA from 1 species